ACGUAAUUACCCAGAGGGCCAGAUCUGGCCCCCGGGCCUUGACUUUGACACAUGUGGCUUAAAAUGUCACAGGUGUGAAGGAUGGGGGCGGGGCUUUUCUGCCUCAGCCAAUAACAAGUCAGAACCACCUGCAUUCUGACGUUUUCUUGUUUUCCACUUGCUUCAGGUCCAAAAAUAACCUUUAAGUCGCACCUAUGAAACGCUUUCAUUUCCUCUGGAGGUCCAAUAGAGCUGUGGAGGCUUGGCGGGCACGCGGCGGCGCUCGAACCAGCGACUCACCGUGUUCAGGACUCUGCUGAAGUACAUGAAGCUGACGGCGACCGCGAUGGUCUGCAGGAGGAUCGCAGCGAGGACGACGAGCCCCAGAGCCUGGACGGACAGAACCAUGGCCGAACCUCUGGAGAAGGAGGACGAGAAGAAGAAGAAGAAGUUCUUCGAGCAGGCAGGACGAGUUUGAUGGAGCUGUGCUGCGUCUGCCCUCAGGGAGGAGGAGGCUGCAGCCGCAGGAGGACGAGGAGGAGGAGCAGACGGGAGGUAUGAAGAAGCGCUUCCACUUCCUCAAGCGUUUAGGAGAAACGGGCGUGGAGCUUCAUGCCGGCUCAGCAGCUUCAGGGUGACUACAGUGUCGGUUGUUGAUAAGAACUCAUAUGACUGGAUUUUGGAGAAAACGAGUGCAUGAAAGCUCUAAAAUCUGAUGAAAACUGUCUUUCCUGUUAUCGUCGGUGGCCUGCAGUGAUGGUCCAGCUCUGUGUUGCUUUAAAUGAUUCCCCUCCUGUGCUCCCAGGCCUUGACCUCUGACCCCUGCUCCAUUGUCACUGACAGGAAGUAGCACACAGAUCCUGGAAGUGGCCCACCCUGCACUCACAAACAGUUAAAACGCUUCAAGUAAAAGAAGAAAAAUCCACCUUAACUGGAGCUUUACGUCCCGAUUUUCACAAUCCAUGAACUUUGGACACUUGGAAUGUUUUUCUUUCUACUUUAUCUUUAUUACUGGCUCUCCAGGCUCCCAGUUAUUUUAAAAGAACUUCCCAGCAGCCUCGAUUAGUCAUAACACUCCAGAAAAUUAGUUUGUCACUUUUUUUUUUUUUUUGACAGAAAGCUUCUUAAUGCUUCUGCUAGCAGGGGUUAAAGUUGCUAAAAAGGGCAGAAUGCUCUUUUAACGGAGCCAGUUCCCAGGGUUGUAGAAGGAAGGAAUGGAGAGGGUAAGCGAUACCCCGAGUCUGUCAGGCCUCGGGCAUGAAAGACGACACCCUGAGAGACAUACCUGUCUGUGCUCCCUGCAGGAAACAGUCAUUUUUCACCGCUCUCACGCCGCCUCUUCUGACCCAGUCAUCCUGCCACCUUUGACUUCACACUAUGUGCACUUUUUUAAGCAUAAAAAUCAGCAGUUUUUUUGUUUUUUGGGAGUUUUUCCAAUUUUGUUUUUCCCACUGAGGUCAAAGAGUUUUUUAAAUCAUUGCAGAGCUGCUCCUUUUCUGGAAAGGAAAAUAUUCUUCUUUUUUUUCCCUCUUUAGCUGAAUAGCUGAAUACUCGGCGGCGUCCACCCUCCUCACUCCCUUUCCCUCCCUGAGGGCUUCUCCUCUCAGAAUAAAUUCAUGUAAUCUCCCUAAAAUUCCCAGCUGAGUGCAACAGCUGCUCAUUGUCUUUUUUUUUUCUUCAUUUGAAAUAAACAGCGGUGUUGAGAAAUGCAGCACAAAGUGUGCCAGAAAUGGAGUUUAUUUGCUUCUUAAAGAGCACCUCUUGGGUGACAAUCCUCUGUUUGAACACACAGCACAGAGGAUUUAGAAACAAAUGAUGAAUUCAAAAUGAUGGUUUUGUUUGUUCCUUUUGAGAAGAACCAGGAAACAUUUCAUGACUUUCCACAAUUUCACUCAGGAAACGUAUCCAGGAAAACUGUUAAUAGUGUCAGGCUGUUGUUUUUAAUGGUCUAAAUUAUUC